CAGCCGCCGCGGGAAUACGGAGGGUGCAAGCGUUAAUCGGAAUUACUGGGCGUAAAGCGCACGCAGGCGGUCUGACAAGUCAGAUGUGAAAUCCCCGGGCUUAACCUGGGAACUGAAUUUGAAACUGUCAGGCUGGAGUCUUGUAGAGGGGGGUGGAAUUCCAGGUGUAGCGGUGAAAUGCGUAGAGAUCUGGAGGAAUACCGGUGGCGAAGGCGGCCCCCUGGACAAAGACUGACGCUCAGGUGCGAAAGCGUGGGGAGCAAACAGGAUUAGAGACCCCUGUAGUCCCUGUCUCUUAUAC
rnacentral:rRNA from 1 species